GACGAACGCUGGCGGCGUGCUUAACACAUGCAAGUCGAACGGAAAGGCCCUGCUUUUGUGGGGUGCUCGAGUGGCGAACGGGUGAGUAACACGUGAGUAACCUGCCCUUGACUUUGGGAUAACUUCAGGAAACUGGGGCUAAUACCGGAUAGGAGCUCCUGCUGCAUGGUGGGGGUUGGAACGUUUCGGCGGUUGGGGAUGGACGCGCGGCUUAUCAGCUUGUUGGUGGGGUAGUGGCUUACCAAGGCUUUGACGGGUAGCCGGCCUGGGAGGGUGGCCGGCCACAUUGGGACUGAGAUACGGCCCAGACUCCUACGGGAGGCAGCAGUGGGGAAUAUUGCACAAUGGGCGGAAGCCUGAUGCAGCGACGCCGCGUGCGGGAUGACGGCCUUCGGGUUGUGAACCGCUUUCGCCUGUGACGAAGCGUGAGUGACGGUAAUGGGUGAAGAAGCACCGGCUAACUACGUG
rnacentral:rRNA from 1 species